rnacentral:rRNA from 1 species
UACAGAGGGUGCGAGCGUUAAUCGGAUUUACUGGGCGUAAAGGGCGCGUAGGCGGUUAGUUAAGUUGGAUGUGAAAGCCCUGGGCUUAACCUGGGAAUGGCAUACAAAACUGGCUAGCUAGAGUCUUGUAGAGGGUAGUGGAAUUUCCGGUGUAGCGGUGAAAUGCGUAGAGAUCGGAAGGAACACCAGUGGCGAAGGCGGCUACCUGGGCAAAGACUGACGCUGAGGCGCGAGAGCGUGGGGAGCGAACAGG